rnacentral:lncRNA from 1 species
UGACCGACCUUGGGUUCUGUGCCUCAGCACUCCCAGGAAAUUGUGGAUGACGGAGCUAUGGGGGUGUCAAAAGACAAUGGGGUGAAGAGAAGUAGCAGGAAGCGAAAGUAUGAGUUGGAAAAGGGGCAGGACGAGCCAAAGGCACUCCUGGUGAAGAAGAAGAAGGAGCUGGAAUGUAGAGUGAAGCCUUCCACGGUCAAAGGGAAGAAGAAGAAACCAUCAAAAGUCACGGAAAAGCCACUGCAGGAGAACAUCAUCAGCAGCUCCCUGAAGCAGGAGGCUGCAGAUGGGAAAUGCCUUGGCUCAAGCCUCUGGAAUGGGAUCCAAGCCGAGGAAGGAGCUGCAUCCGGGUUGGAGGACACCAAAGCAAACCCCCCUCAAGGGCCACCAGUGGGGCUGGAAGACUCCUCCAGAUCCCAGGACGAAUCCCAGAGAGCAGGACCUGCAGUAGGAGAGCAGCUCUUGGAGACCCAGAAUGGAAUCAGGCUCCCAAGUGUUGCUGGUGGGGUUGCAUCCCCCUCUGGAGAUCCUUUGGAGAGGAAUGUGGGGCUCACAGCUGUGAGGGAGACUGAGGAGAAGGAGCUGGAUCCCCCUAUCCCACAACAGGAAGAGGAUUCCCAAGCCCUGAAACAAAAAGGAGGGAAGAAGCAGGAGGAAAACAAGCAGGAAAAAGGAUUGAAGAGGAAAAGAGGGAAGAAGCAGGAGCAAAACAAGCAGGAAAAGGGAUUGAAGAGGAAAAGAGGGAAGAAGCAGGAGGAAAACAAGCAGGAAAAGGGAUUGAAGAGGAAAAUAGGGAAGAAACAGGAGGAAAACAAGCAGGAAAAGAGAUUGAAGAGGAAAAGAGGGAAGAAACAGGAGGAAAACAAGCAGGAAAAGGGAUUGAAGAGGAAAACAGGGAAGAAACAGGAGGAAAACAAGCAGGAAAAGGGAUUGAAGAGGAAAAGAGGGAGGCAGGAUAAAUCUGAGGAUUUGAUGGAUGGCAUUGAGGGGGACGAGGGCAGGAAUUGGGAAGGGGGACAGGGAAGAGCCAAAAGACAGAGAUGCAGCAGCCAGGGAUGUGAUGAUGGGGAAAAAAAGCAGGAGACAGGGAAAGCAAAGAAGCCCAGGAAAAGGAAAGUGAAGGGGAUGGGAAAGAGGAAAAUAAAGAAGGAACAACUGCUGGAAGAGGAGCAAAAGAUGGAGAAAGAUGAGGAGGGAGAGGAAGAAGUGGGAGGUGAAGAGGAGAGAAAGGUGGGAAAGGGAAGUGGAGAUGGAAAAGGAAUAAAGGAGGAAGAGGUGGAUGGGAAAGGGGAGGAAGGAUUGGGAGAAACUAGGAGCGCAGGGAUGGGGCAGGAGGUGAAGGAGGAGGAGGAUGAAGGGAAGGGAGAUGUUCCAGGGAAAGAGAAAAAGAGGAAAAACAAGAAGAAAAAGACAAAGGGGGAGACAAAAGAGACAAAGAGGGAAGAGGAUAAAACCCCCGGGAAAACUGGGAAAGAGAAAUCUAAGGAAGGAGAAGAAAAAAAAGAACAAAAGAACCUAAAAAAGACUAAAAAACAGAAAAAAGAAGAAAAAGAGGUGGAAAACAAAUGGAAAUGGUAAAUUCCAGCAUGUCUUUGGCAGGUCUAACCCUGGAACUGGGAUUUUAAUUAUAUUUUGUGGGGCAAAAUGGUGAAAAAUUCCUGCUUUUUGACUAUUUUCCUGUAUUUCCUUGAGCCUUGAACGUGGCACUCUUGGAAACGGGUGAGAGAUAAGGGAAGGUCCUGAAUGCACAGCAGGAUUUGUAUCAUUAUUAUUUU